CACAUUGCGGAUAUGCUGCUUCUAAGAUACGGCAAAUGUUUCUGAAGAAAUACACAUGAAUAUUAGUUCUUACUACAAAGAUGCUCUGGAGUGUCAGCAUGCUCCUGUAGUUAAGAAUGAAAGGAAGGGUCCAUGGAUAUAUUACAUCUCUGUGCCGUCCCUCUAUAAUAAGAAACCUUCUCAGAGUGUGAAGAGUUGCUCCCUCUCCUUUUGUGUUUGCUCAGCUAGGUAGUGGCUUUUAGCAUGUAUAUCAAGCUAAGCAAACAAAAGCACACAGUAAAUAUCCACGUAUAAUAUAGUUUCUUCCUGCAUUUUCUGGUUUGAACAUUAACUGUACACAGCCAGGAAGGAAUAUGAAUAUACAGACAGGAAAAACUACCACUGAAUUAUUAUGCAAGUUACUUAGCACCUAGAAUCAUUGCAUUUUUCAAAGGGACUUUUAAAAUACUGCAUCAAUACAAGUGACAGAAUACUCCCAGGAUGUGAGAGGGGUUUCAUAUGUAUAAUUUGGCAAUGGCGUAUAAUGGGUAUAAUAUUUGUAACAGCUGUUAGGUGCUCUGAAGCUACACUACAUUUAUGGAAUUUUCCAUUGAGCUCUAAAUAUUCAGGUCACAUACACAGUUAAAUUUCCUGCAGUGGCAGUACAGAUAAAAGCACUCCAACCGUAUGCCAUAAUUGUGCUCUAUUUAGAGAGUGCAGCAACUUAGGCAUUUUCACAGCAGUCGUCUUAGAUACCAUAUACAUUCCGCUUUAUAAAUGCCAAUUCAUUAGCGCAUGUAACACAUAGCAUGCUGCUCUUAAAAAAAAAAAAAAGGAGACUGCUAUGUUUCAGUGAGGAAUAAAUAUACAGAAAAAAGCCCUCUUACUUAGAAG
ensembl:lncRNA